AUUGAACGCUGGCGGCGUGCUUAACACAUGCAAGUCGAACGGUGAACCUUCCUUCGGGGAGGGGAUCAGUGGCGAACGGGUGAGUAACACGUGAGCAACCUGCCCCUAGCUCUGGGAUAACCCCGGGAAACCGGAGCUAAUACCGGAUACGAGACCGAACGGCAUCACUCGGUCUGGAAAGUUUUUUCGGCUAGGGAUGGGCUCGCGGCCUAUCAGCUUGUUGGUGAGGUAACGGCCCACCAAGGCGACGACGGGUAGCCGGCCUGAGAGGGCGACCGGCCACACUGGGACUGAGACACGGCCCAGACUCCUACGGGAGGCA
rnacentral:rRNA from 1 species